rnacentral:rRNA from 1 species
UACGAGGGGGGCGAGCGUUGUUCGGAAUUAUUGGGCGUAAAGGGUGCGUAGGCGGUUCGUACAGUCAGACGUGAAAUUCCCGGGCUCAACCUGGGGGCUGCGUUUGAUACGUACGGGCUUGAGUUCGGAAGAGGGUCGUGGAAUUCCCAGUGUAGAGGUGAAAUUCGUAGAUAUUGGGAAGAACACCGGUGGCGAAGGCGGCGACCUGGUCCGAUACUGACGCUGAGGCGCGAAAGCGUGGGGAGCAAACAGG